UAACGGGAUAACUAUAAGGAAGAGAUUAUUUAACAAUCUUGUUUUGUUGAAGAUCCUAUUCAAUGUACGUAGGUUGUGCUUUUUUUUGUUCGCAUUAUUGGAAGCUCUUGUGAAUUUUGUUUUUUUGUCGCCAUGCUUACUUAAAACGGCAAGUUUUACCCUCUGAGGAGAGUGCCUUCUUGAAGAUUUCAUUCAGCACAAAGUACGGUAGCCUGAAAAGAGAAGACCGUCUACAAAGGCAAGGGCAAUAUCGUCAAAGAAUUCACCAGGCUGAUGUCUAUGGACCUCACUUUGUUCUAUGAGCGUUUGGACAGUCACCUGCUCAGACUUCUUCAGUUGUUGAGGUCAAAGCGCUUUGAGGGGAGUAAAGAAAUGACAUCCUUACUGGAGAGCCUUGACAAGGAUGUAUCAAACCAAAAGAAGAGGGCAACAGCUUUGCAUGGUCUACCGUGGUACAUGAAGGAAAAUCCAUCUGCAUUCAUGAAGAUGUGUGAGCCCACGGAUCCUGAGGAGGAUGUCAUCAGGGGAAUGCUCACUGGAAUACUCUUAGUUGCUGAGGAUGUGAAGGAGCCCCUUCCAGCUUCCUACAAUGAUAUUGCCAUUGUGGUUGAAGAAAUUAUUGUCAUUCGCCACUUGCGAGAUGUACCCAGUGCUUUUGUCAAUCUGAUGGGACUGCUGUACAUUCUGAACAUUGACUAUCCAAAAGACUUGAAGUACACUUUUGAAGUAAUUCAACGACUAUUCAUGGGAAUAGGGCUGGACGCAUGCACUGCCAGAGUCCACUCUCUGAAGAAUAAAUUGUUCAUUUAAUUAGAUAAUGCAAGCAUCUUCAUUGGUUAUGUUUUGAUUUUCUGUGUCUUGAUGUUCUUGCUGAUCUUUGAAGCAAAUGUGUCUAUAUACUUACUUAUAUUUACUUAUACACUUUAUGUAUUUCAGCCCUAUUCCCGUGAACAGAGGCAUUUUUGUAAUAUUUAAAGUAUCUCUUUAAUGUAUCAGCAAGACACUAUAUUAUUUUUAUUAUUAUUUUUUGGCAGCUGUACAAUUGACAUUUAAUAUUUUUUGUUGUGGCUGCUCUGUUCAGAGGAAAUGUGUCUCUGAGACACAAUUUUAUUUGGUUUUAAAGGAGCCUUGAACGGAGUUUACAUUUGAGCAGUACCUAUACUUUUGAUGUUAAGAUAGUUGACCAUGUGUCUUAGUUGACAUUUGUCUGCAGUUGAGAAUAAAUAUUCCAGA